CAAACAUCUGUUGUCAGGCUGCGCCAAGCAUCUACAAAGUGAAACAGUCUGCCCCACACAUACACGGGGAAGGGGAUGAUGGAAUACUCACCAUAAAGCCUUCGGCCAUACGAGGCGCCCCUGGUCCUUCGAGACUGCAACGAUCUGCCCCUGACCGGGAAGAAGGGCGAAGGGGACUUGUUCUCUGGAGGCUGGAAUCUAG